UUGGGCACCCUUGAAGUGUGAGUCCUCCAUCUUCAGUUUGGUUAGGCCACAGGUAGCAGCUGUGCAAGCUUCCCUUAAACUGCCCUAUCAAUGGGUUUCAAACCUGGUUGGAAGGGACCAGUCAUAGGAGUGAGACAGAAGUUUAAACUCUAUGGCCUAUUCAGUCCUUGGUCUCU
ensembl:misc_RNA